rnacentral:rRNA from 1 species
AACGAACGCUGGCGGCAUGCCUAACACAUGCAAGUCGAACGAGACCUUCGGGUCUAGUGGCGCACGGGUGCGUAACGCGUGGGAACCUGCCCUUAGGUUCGGAAUAACUCCCCGAAAGGGGUGCUAAUACCGGAUAAUGUCUUCGGACCAAAGAUUUAUCGCCUUUGGAUGGGCCCGCGUUGGAUUAGCUAGUUGGUAGGGUAAAAGCCUACCAAGGCGACGAUCCAUAGCUGGUCUGAGAGGAUGAUCAGCCACACUGGGACUGAGACACGGCCCAGACUCCUACGGGAGGCAGCAGUGGGGAAUAUUGGAAAAUGGGCGAAAGCCUGAUGCAGCAAUGCCGCGUGAGUGAUGAAGGCAUUAGGGUUGUAAAGCUCUUUUAACCGGGAUGAUAAUGACAGUACCGGGAGAAUAAGCUCCGGCUAACUCCGUG